ACAUCUCACCCGGAUCAUAGCCAUCAAUGAAAACACCUGAUGAACCCAAAAGCAAAAUCUGAAAACGCGAGUUCAAAUAUCGAGCUGAAGAAACGUGAUUUCAAAUCUCCGGCGUCACCACCACGGUGCUUCGUCAUCUUCUUCACUAGCAUCUGGAUCUUCAUCGCCGGCAUCCGCAUCUUCAUCACCAGCAUCCGCCAUUGUUGCGUCAUCCUUGAAUCGCGGAUUCGUCGUUCAGCGUCGCAACUUCGUCUUCCAGACUAACUUCGAAGCAAAACAGAGUGCAGAACAUGGCUCCAAUACCUCAGAUUGAUUUGCUUAUGCGUGCGUGAAAACAUAACGAAAUCAAAAUGAUAAGCUCACUGGAUUGGAGCCUCAAUUCGAACAGGGAGAUAAUGAGGAUUGGAGGAGAGUGAAUUAUGAACUGUGUGGACUGAAGAGAGAAUGAGAGAAACUGCCAAAAAUCUCCUUGAAUACCUCUACAAUGAUGUAUUUAUAAGCUUCUGAUUUAACAGAGUUCCUGACUCUGUUACACAUUCUAUAGGUAAAUCAGCUAUGGAGUUAACACUGUCAAAGCUCAGUCAGGGUCAGACUGUUAUUAAUUCUGCUACCUAUUAAUACCUGCCAUGAAAACUGCUUAACUCAUUUGAAUUAAUUGUUAGCCCUGUAAUUUCAGAGGCAUGCCAACUCUGAUUUCAAAUAGGGACAGUUGGUGUAUUUGCUUGGGAAUGCAGGAUAUGUCAUGAGUUGUGGUUCUUUGAAGUUUUGGCCAAUGAUUCGAAGGGUGCUUUGGACUGGUGUGGGAUUACAUUGUUGUUUUGGGUUUGGCUUGGAAUUGCAAAGGGAUUCAUGUGAUACAUUAAAGCUUGGACAUUUGAUCGGUUUUGUAAUUGGUGUUAGCAUGGUAUGUGAAGUCCAAUGAAGAAACUUGCACAUGGACUGGCUCUUAUGAAUUGGUACAAUGAAGAAAAAAUAGGGUUAGGCUUAUGGAUUAGGGAAGUUUAAUUUGGUAAAGAUGUAAUAUGCAUUGUGAUUUUGGAAUGGUGAUGGUUAUGUAAUGAGAACUUGAAACUUUGUAAAAUGCAAUGUUGGAGUCUUGAUGUAAUUUUAUAUUGGAAUGGAAUUGGUUCUUUGUUGUACGAGGUUUGAAUGAACAUGUUGAAGCUUAGAUGAAAUGUUAUUUGGAACUUGAUUGGUUUA